GCAGCAGUGUAGCAUAGUGGUUAAGGAGAAGGACUUGUAACCAAAAGGUUGUUGGUUCGAUUCCCCUCUGGUGCA